UGGCACAGUAGGUAGUGCGUCAGUCUCACAAGCUGAAGGUCCCAAGUUCAAUCCUCGG
rnacentral:tRNA from 1 species